UUGUGUCUCGUUCUUCCAGUGUUGACGACUCCGAGCCAGGCAUUCCUCUCCUGCCGCAACUGCAAUGAAUAUCCUGCUGACCAUCGUGCGGGCCGCUUCUUGAUUGACGCAAACGUUCAUGGUGGCUUCAGGAGUAAGGGGUUUGCUGGGGCAGAGUUCCUCCUCCUCUGUUGCUGCCGUACCACGGCAGGCAGCGGGUCGAUGGUGGUGCCUCGCCCAGGUCCUUACUGCUGUUGCUGUUGCUAUUGCUGCUACCUGCCUACCUACCGCCCUGCCUCUCUGCCUCCAUGUCUCCCUGCCUUCCCUCGUGCUAAGCUCUUCGUGGAAUUUUUCAUUCCUGGCUCUACUUCGUACCUCGACGCUUUACUGAACUACUGAACUUCCCUCGCGGCGUGGCAAGUGUUGGCUCAUCGUCCGGAUUCUCCUCUUGGCUUCAGCAUUUCACUGUCAGAAUUUGCUCCCACCGAUUCUUGAAUGACAAAAGACGGUGAAUAAAAGCUUUGCUCGUGACAGGCCUCGUCCCCAAGCACCUCGAGGAGCAGGGAGGGCAGGAAAGCAGCAGACUCCCCAGCUGUGGUGCUCAAAAUCUGGCUGCGUCACUCCAACUUACAGAGAGCACAAUAAACCAACAGACAAUAGCUCACUGAUUAAUUACCGGUCUAUCACUUUUCAAUGAAUCCUAGACAGUGUUACGAUUUUGGUGGCUUCUUUGAUAUUAAGUUGCCAUAGAAACCGUCCCACUACGCCCAACAGAUGAUUAGUAUUAUUACAUUUCACUAAAGAAUCAGACUCUGCUCCAUUUUUUUUUCUUUUAUAACACCAAGUUGCAACAAAUAAGUAACAUAAUUUUUGUUGCUCUUAUAACACUGAGUUGCAACAUUUAAAUCUGCUUUGAUGAAUCUUACGCCGAGGAUUGAUAAAGUUAUCGUUACACAGUACAUGUAAUGCGGGAUUUACCAGAUAAAUCGCAUCAAACGAAUUAUUCUCAUUAACUCAAUUUCAUUAGAGCGGGUUGCGGAAAAUCGUACUGAGUUAUAUCUGUAUUUUCUUCUUAGCCUGUUUACCGCUUCAGGGACACAUUUUUACCGUGAGUUUGGAUGUGAUUAGACGAUUUUAUUGACAUUAGAAAGUGUUUA